AGAGUUUGAUCGUGGCUCAGAAUCAACGCUGGCGGCGUGCCUAACACAUGCAAGUCGAACGCGGAAGGGGAGCAAUCCCUGAGUAGAGUGGCAAACGGGUGAGUAACACGUGGGUGACCUGCCUCAGAGUGGGGGAUAACGACCCGAAAGGGUCGCUAAUACCGCAUAACAUCCUGCCUUUGGAAAGGUGGAGAUCAAAGCCGGGGAUCGCAAGACCUGGCGCUUAGAGAGGGGCCCGCGGCCGAUUAGCUAGUUGGUAGGGUAAUGGCCUACCAAGGCGACGAUCGGUAUCCGGCCUGAGAGGGCGGACGGACACACUGGGACUGAGACACGGCCCAGACUCCUACGGGAGGCAGCAGUGGGGAAUUGUUCGCAAUGGGCGCAAGCCUGACGACGCAACGCCGCGUGGAGGAUGAAGAUCUUCGGGUCGUAAACUCCUUUCGAUCGGGAAGAACGUUUUCGGAGUUAACAGCUUCGAGAAGUGACGGUACCGAGAGAAGAAGCCCCGGCUAACUCUGUGCCAGCCGCCGCCGUAAC
rnacentral:rRNA from 1 species